UGAGAAACGACCCGGGCGUGAGUGAUUUAACCACUCGGUUCCAAAAUUAGUCAGCCGUGCCCGCAGGUCGACGCAGAGCCCGGGCGCAUUGCCCGGGCUCCAUCCCCUGGACUUUCCCUUCUGGGCCUGGCGCGGCGGCGGCGGCCUCACGUGCUGCACUCUCGAGCCUGGGGCCGAGGCCGCCUCGGCCCACGCUCUCUGCACAGCCGUCCUCGGCCCGGGGCCUACGGUGGGCCCCGCAGCCCGCGGGAGAUAAGGGGCCAGAGCUCCGACCCCAGGACUCUGGCCCCCUGGUGCACCUGCACAGCCCUUCGGACGCCGCGUGGGCAGGUCUUCCCAUAAACAUCUGGUGAUCCCUGGCUGCCUUAAGAUUUCUUCCAAGAUUCCCCAAGAGCUGGUGGGCAGACUCUAUGUGCACACAUGCGGCUGCUCCCCCAGGGUUCUCAAAGGAACCAGCGUGAGCCAGCAUGUAACAAGUCAGAGGAUCCUGUUGCAGAAGACGGGUGCAGAGGGACAUCUUGAGACUCGUGAAGGAGCACCAAGGACCUGAGCCAGACAGGCUGCUGUUCCAGAUGAGUCAGCCGCCCCCAGAAUCCUCAGGCAAACCAGUGCGCCCCCGGGUCUGUGGGCCAGCGGCACCUUGGUUGUUGUUAAACCACUGCAUUUCGAGCUAGUCUGUUGGGUAGCAAUCGGUACUGAAAGCCCAUACUCACAGGACUCCACUGAGCAGACCACCAGGAUGUCCCCUAACCGUAGCCCAGACCAGAAGAGAGAGGCAGUGGCAAAACAUGGGGGUGGAGUAGAGGGUGGAGGGGCAAAGGUGACCCCUCCAGGAGGCAGCAAGGGAGGCCACCAAGGGGUUGCCUGUUGUCCGGGAGAGGAAGCGCGACACAUCACAGUCUGCUGAGGACCGAGGACUGCAGAUAGGUGACCCCAGGCUGGAGCUCUCUGCUGGCUCCAGACAGGACGCAUGGCAUGGCAGGCAUCAUGGGCAGGGACAGCUCUGGCCUGUGAGGACUGCACACACUUCCAGGGCUCCGGAAGGACAGGGUGCUCUGUCUCAAACCUGCGGAAGCACCGCAGGCUUCAGUGGUGAGGAACACAGGCUGUAUGGGGCAUGGAGCCUCCUGUGGGGGAGGUGACAAACAUGAAUGCCAAACAUGAAUGCCAAGGUAGAAUACAGACCAGACUGAGACUGAAGGCUGGGCCUGGGGCUGGUUCCUCUGGAGCCCCAGCCGCAGAACGUUCUAGGUGCUCAAUAAAUGUUUGCCAAAUGGACAGACUCCGCUCCUGGGCCACUGGGAAAUGCCAGGGGAAGGGACCAGAGGGGAGACUGGUCAGAGUAGGCCUGAGAGGCUUCUGCAGUCUCCUGAGGAAAGAAGGCGGGGACAGGGCUGAGGAGAGGGCGGCAGAGAUGGAUACCGAGGGAGGGAGCAUCGUGCACAGGAAGGAC
ensembl:lncRNA